rnacentral:lncRNA from 1 species
ACAUUUAAAACUGUUUCUAUAACGUUCCACUUUCUUAUCCUUUUUCUCCCCCUAUUCUCCACAAACAUCUUCUUCUCCUAUCUCUAUACUUAACCACUGUCUGAUUAUACAAUUGCAAACUCAUUCUACAAAUCUUUCUCAUUCUCCAAAUAGCAAACCUGGUAACAAGAAGAAAGGAAGUGUCUCGCAAUGUUACUUUUCAUUCUCCAAUUAGAAAAUGACUCCAACGAAAGUAUCUCCAAUGAAAAAGUGUCUGGCAAAACUAAAACGGAAGUGACUCUCAUUCUCCAAUGAAAAUAUCUCUUAUUUAAUAAAAGGUCUUAUUUUGUAUACCAUAUAUUUCUAUCCUCUAGAAAAAAUGAAGAGCAUGAACUAUGUUACUGCAAUAAUAUGAUAAUAAAUGUUACUUUUUUUACUUUAAUUUUUGGUUUCUACUGUUGG